GAACAGCAGCACCACCAAGUGGACACUAACAACAUGGUUCACUGAAUAAAUGCAAUUGUUUAACAGCAGUUACUUCUGCUGACAUCUUCAUGAAAAAAGAUCCAAUCCAGUUCAUUGUUUGUGGGAUUCUUCGCUCUCUUUAGACAGAAGCACUCGAUAAGGAAGUCCUUUUCAACCACAGUUUGUGUUCCUAUCAUUGUUGAUAAGAUGUGGUUAACAGACAUGUUGUCAUGAUCUCCAAAUACACUCAUUCAGAGCCAUGACAAUGAUUUCAUUGUGCUAAAUGAGAUGUAAAACUUGAGAGUUCCUCAACAGAUGAUGAAGAGGAAGGGCCAAUGAUGUGAAGGCCCAGAUCCAUCAGAGUAUCAAUGUUCUUCCUCUCUCUCCUCCCCUCUCACUGCAGACAUGAAACACUGGCUGAGAAACAUCCUGAUUGUGACUCUGUGGCUAGAGUGUAAAGGAGAAGACAGAGUGAUCCAGCCAACAGGAGAUGUCAUUGCUACUGAAGGAGACACAGUUACACUUGGCUGUACAUUUGAGUCAAGUUACCCAAGUAAUUAUCUCUUCUGGUACAAACAGGAUGGAGACAACAGCCCCAAAUUCAUAAUGAGCCGAAUUAAACUGGACGAAGGGAACACACCAGACGAGUUUAAGGAGAGAUUUUCAUCCACACUGGAUUCCACCUUAAAAUCAGUUCCUCUGAAGAUCCAGAAGCUUCAGCUGUCUGACUCUGCUGUGUACUACUGUGCUCUGCAGCCCACAGUGACAGGAAACACCAAGACUCUGUACAAAAACCUUUGGAGCAAAGACAACAGAAUACUCCACAACGUCCACUAGAGGGAGUCACACACUGUUAAACCAAUACGUUCAUUGAACUGAUGAGAGGAACUGAAAAAAUAACAUCAAGAGGUGAUUGGCCCUGCCCAUUGAGCUUCAACUCAACCAAUGACAUUAUUUCUUACUCAUUCUACUGCAGUGGAAGAACAUUGCUCAUCUGCUGUCUGUCUGGCUUUAACAACUCCAAAGACAUGUUGCUUUACCUCUUUUUACUUUUCUCUCAUUUUACAGGUGAGUUUAAGAACAGAGAUUUAAGUUUUGUUUAACCUGCUGCAUCAACCAGAUAUACACAACCUGUAUUUCAGAACUUUUCUCAUUUCUUUGCUCUGACAGAAUGCACAUCAUGUUUCAUCA